rnacentral:misc_RNA from 1 species
AACGCACAUUGCGCCCGCCGGCACUCCGGCGGGCAUGCCUGUCCGAGCGUCAUUUCAACCCUCAGGCCCACCCUUCCGGGGGAGCGGGCCUGGUUCUGGGGAUCGGCGGCCCUCGCGGCCCCCGUCCCUCGAAUUCAGUGGCGGUCGCGCCGCAGCCUCCCCUGCGUAGUAGCACAACCUCGCACCGGAGAGCGGAACGACCACGCCGUAAAACACCCAAUUUUUUAAGGUUGACCUCGGAUCAGGUAGGAAUACCCGCUGAACUUAA